GGUCUGCUUAACACAUGCAAGUCGACCGGGCUCUUCUAAGCUAGUGGCGGACGGGUGAGUAACGCGUGAGGAUCUGCCUUCGGAGGGGGAUAACGACUGGAAACGUCGCGGGUCCGCAUAUCCUACGGGUAAAGAUUUAUCGCCUGGAGAUGAACUCGCGUCAGAUUAGCUAGUUGGUGGGGUAAGAGCCUACCAAUGCGACGAUCUGUAGCUGGUCUGAGAGGAUGAUCAGCCACACUGNGACUGAGACACGGCCCAGACUCCUACGGGAGGCAGCAGUGGGGAAUUUUCCGCGGUGGGCGCAAGCCUGACGGAGCAAGACCGCGUGCGGGAUGACGGCCUAAUGGUUGUAAACCGCUUUUCUCUGGGAAGAUGAUGACGGUACCAGAGGAAUCAGCCUCGGCUAACUCCGUGCCAGCAGCCGCGGUAAUACGGAGGAGGCAAACGUUAUCCGGAAUUAUUGGGCGUAAAGCGUCCGUAGGUGGUUAUUCAAGUCUGCUGUCAAAGCGUGGGGCUUAACUCCAUAGAGGCAGUGGAAACUGGAUGACUUGAGUGCGGUAGGGGUCGAGGGAAUUCCCAGUGUAGCGGUGAAAUGCGUAGAUAUUGGGAAGAACACCAGUGGCGAAAGCGCUCGACUGGGCCUGCACUGACACUGAGGGACGAAAGCUAGGGGAGCGAACGGGAUUAGAUACCCCUGUAGUC
rnacentral:rRNA from 1 species